rnacentral:rRNA from 1 species
GAUUCUGGCUCAGGACGAACGCUGGCGGCACGCUUAACACAUGCAAGUCGAGCGGAGUUAUUGGAGCUUGCUUGAAUAACUUAGUGGCGGACGGGUGAGUAACACGUGAGCAAUCUGCCCUUAAGAGGGGGAUAGCAGUUAGAAAUGACUGAUAAUACCGCAUAAGAUAGUAGUACCGCAUGGUACAGCUAUAAAAGAUUUUAUCGCUUAAGGAUGAGCUCGCGUCUGAUUAGCUGGUUGGUGAGGUAACGGCUCACCAAGGCAACGAUCAGUAGCCGGACUGAGAGGUUGGACGGCCACAUUGGGACUGAGACACGGCCCAGACUCCUACGGGAGGCAGCAGUGGGGAAUAUUGCACAAUGGAGGGAACUCUGAUGCAAGCGAUGCCGCGUGAGGGAAGAAGGUUUUAGGAUUGUAAACCUCUGUUGACAGGGACGAUAAUGACGGUACCUGUUGAGGAAGCUCCGGCUAACUACGUGCCAGCAGCAGC